CGUUAGAUCUGACGCUAUAAACGACUAAGAUUAGUUCGCAGUUCUUAUUAUUUAAGGUAGUUCGUACGAGAUCUAAUUUCUAUAUAUAUAUACAGGACCAGAUUAUAAUGAGAACCAAUCCUAUAAUAGGAACAAAGAACUAAUCUGGACCGUCAGAUCUAAAAUAAAAGGCGCGUGAUCUAACGGCCCAAAUUAAAUCAGACGAAUUGAAUGAGCUUCUCUCUCCUCUCUCCUGCGCGAUUUUCUCUCUCCUCUUUGUCAUAUCAUUGACGCCAUUGUUCUCUCUCCUCAAGCUUUCUCAAUUCAAUCAAUAGCUCCAAUAUCAGAAAAAAUUGCUAUAAUUUACAUACUUCUUCAAUGUUGUGCUAAAUUCGCUGCAAAAUUUGUCAACGUUAGAGUUUUGAGGAGGCCAGGAAGUAGGAAGAUAGCUGCUUGUGGACUACUUUGUGUUGUUGUUGUGGUGUGGAUAAGCUGGCAGCAAGAUUGAUGAGAGGUGAAUGUGGAUUUUUGUGUAGGUUGAAUUUUUAUUCUAGAAUCUGUAAAAUUAUAAGUGGACUUGAAUAUAAUUCCACUAAAAGUAAACUAAAUAUUUUUAAUAGUAGAUUAAAUUGCUCAAAUAAAAAGUAGAUAAUCAAUGAGUUUAUGGUUGAGGAUUUUUACCCCCUAUAAUAAGCAGAUAGAAAUAUGAUAAGAGUAAAUCAAAAGGGGGGUGCUGGUAUGCCCCUUCCUAUAGCCUGGUCACCACCUGAUGAGGGGUGGGGAAAGCUAAAUGUUGAUGCUGGAGUUGUAGGGGAAUCAGGGACUGGUCUGGGGGCAGUGUUGCGUGAUUAUAAUGGCUCAGUUCAGGGUUAUUCUAUGGUGCAGGGCAUCGAGUGAUGGAAGACAAAUGUAGCUGAAGCUACGGCUAUCAUAUGGGGUAUGAAAUUUGCGUAUGACUUGGGCUGGAAAGUAUUAUUGUAGAAGGAGAUUGCCUUGCUGUCAUUCAGGCUUUGAGAAACAAGUCAGUAGGAUCAAGCUCAUUGCAUUUAGUUUUAGAGGAUAUUUUAGAGAUGUCUUCAAUGUUUGUUUGCAUUAAAUGGUCUUUUGUUAAGUGCGGUGGGAAUAGAGUGGCACACGAAUUGGCUCACUUCCAACCUUGGGAAAUCGAUCAAAGAGUGUGGAAUAAUGUAAUCCCACCCCGUAUUCUUGAUGUAACUUGCUCUGAUUUAACUAUUUAGUUCCCUUUGUGGGUUCUUUCAAAAAAAAAAUAUAAGUAUAUUUCAUCUGCCUGUAUAGUUUUGCUCCAACUAGAAGUGCUUCGUAACUAUAGAUCAUCUUCACAGUUUUUGCAUCAACUAGUUGUGCUCAUUAUUGUGCUAAUGAGAGUCGUAUCUAUGAAAUUGCUAUUAGUUGGAAGUCUUAUUUUGCUAUUAUCUAUAAUAUGUUGCUAUAGUUUUGCUCUA